rnacentral:misc_RNA from 1 species
AAGGCUCGCCGAAUACAAAAUAUUACAAGUGUAUUGGCGGGGCACAAACAGCAGGGGAGAGGGUGUCUCGAUUCUAUAAGAGACUCAAUGCUUACACGAAUAACGUCCACAAAUUUCAGGCGAGCCUGAAGCCUGAAUUUGUUGACGUUAUCCGUGCCGCCGAGGAGGCCUACAAGAGCAAGGCCAAGCUCUGAACGACUCCGGAGCGUCGGGACGCCAAAACCGACAGUUUCGACGGUUCCUCGCCUCGUACAUGAAUCCGAAGGAUGCCAAAAUGAUCAAGUGUAUCUAGACGACGGUAUCGACGGUGCUGGGCUGCCCACGAACAGAGAGGAGCGCUACAAAGGCAGAG